rnacentral:misc_RNA from 1 species
UAUUUAUUUAAAUAAUAAAAUAAAAGAACAGAAAAGAAUCUGGACACUCAAAGGUCCAGAUACAUUCACUCUUCCAGCAUUUUUCCCACGGAGCUCCCUGCCCCUCUCGAUCGUUCUUCUGCGGCUAGACUAAACGACCGCCGACCAGUGGGUCAUCUCAGCGGCAUGAUGCGACGUCGGUGAACAGAAAGCCAGUGGAGAGAAGCAGUAGCAGUAGUAGCACGCUGAGAGGGAAGAGAAACACUGCCGAACCUUUAAACCCAAAUUUCCAGUGAUCGAGACAGUAAAUGGACGAGCUCUGAGAGCACACGACUUCCCUCAUCUAGACGCCUUUUUCCCGACCAGCGAAAAUACAAUAAAAACCACGGGAAAUCAAAACCUCACAUCUCAUAACCCAACCAAAAAAUCCUCAAUUCUCCAACACAAAACACUCAACAAAUCUGUACAACAAAAUCCAUAUAAUCAACAAACUCAAUAAAUCAACGAAGCUGCCUAAGUUAGAAAAUGGGCUUUCUAAGGUCCUUGGGUUGCACUGGAGCCAACGGAAGAUGUUGACAGUAGCCAUAAGAACUGCUCGAUGCGCUACUGAAGGAAGUGACCAUCUUCUUUGUGCACUAUAGUACCGAGAACUGCUGGGUUCCUCGACCAAUAGGUGGCUAGUGCUCUUCUCGAUGUUGAUCGCAUGCUGCUGGGUUCCUCACGCAGCAUUGUUCGCCGAAGGCAGAUUUGGAAAAUGGGCAGAUGGACAUGAAAGGAAGAGGAAGGAGGUUUGUCGCAACAAGAGGAGGGGGGAAGAGGAAAUAAGGGAAAAAUUGGA